CAAGUUUUUUUUUGCAAAUUUGUCAAGAAGCUCUUCGUUCGAAGUGAGGGUGUUAAGUUUUUAUCGUUUUCUUUAGUGAGAUUUUCUUUUCUUUUGGUUUGUUAUGUAGACAAUGCAGAUGCAAGAUGAUGUCUGAUCAGUUUAGAAAAGUAGAACCAUAUUCUCCGAAGUCCUCGCCGCGAGGAGCGAGGUCACCAGUGGUUUCUCGUCAGGAUUCCUCUGGAACUCUCAAAACUACCAUCUCACUCGGCAAAAACCCGUCUAUAGUGCAUAGUGGACCAUUCUAUUUGAUGAAAGAACCUCCAGGAGAAUGUGAACUCACAGGAGCAACUAAUUUAAUGGCUUAUUAUGGACUUGAGCACUCGUAUAGUAAAUUUAAUGGCAAAAAACUUAAAGAAUCACUAUCUUCCUUCCUGCCAAAUCUCCCUGGAAUCCUUGAUGGGCCUGGACAAGAGGAUAAUAGUACUUUAGGGUCGGUGAUAGCUAAAAGGCCUAUAGGUGGUAAAGAAUUACUACCACUAACAAGUGCUCAACUAGCUGGGUUCCGGCUCCAUCCAGGGCCAUUACCUGAACAGUACCGGUAUGUAAGUGCCACCCCACCAAAGCGACACAAGACCAAACACAAGAAACAUAAGCAUAAGGAUGGGGUGCCCCCAGGACAAGAGACACCACUUCAAGACUCCUCCAACCCAGACACAUAUGAGAAGAAACACAAAAAGCAGAAACGGCACGAUGAUGACAAGGAACGUAAGAAACGGAAAAAGGAGAAGAAGAGAAAAAAGCAGAAACAUAGUCCCGAGCACGGCGGUCUCACGCCGAGCCAGCACCCAAUACCUUAAGCUAUUGUACUUUAGUAUGUAAGUUGAAGCUAUUGAGCCCAAAGAGACGCCAUAUAGUCUUAUAACUCAGUUACACUCAAGUAUGGGCUGCAACCAAAAAGGAUUUAUCUCAAUGUUGACUAAGGUGUUUCUGGUGACUAGGCUGCAAUAACUGUAUAUAAUUGUAUUCUAUGUAGAUUUUUUAUUAUUCACUUUCAGCUUAACAUUUACCACAUGAGUCUCAACUAUCAUAGUCUUUACUCCUUUUUCAAAUUUUCAGGCAGCCAUCACUCUGAGUAGUAUUAGAUAUAGAAUUAGCUACAAAUAAAGGUGUCAUUGGGAACAGAUGGAAGAUUGUUUAUCAACAAGAAAGAUAAGAACUGAACUGUUAAGAAUUUUUUGUAAGAAAUAAAUGGUGAUGGAUGAAAAUGUUAUGUGGACUUGCUACAAAACAGUAUAGUAAAAAAUAUGUCUUAAAUAAAAUAGAAAGCUACAAACGAUAAUUGUUUUACAAUUAAUUGAACAAAUGAUAAUUGUUUUGCAAUUAACCAUAGUUUAUAUUUCAGUAUUCUGUAGUUUUCAAAAACAAUAUUUGAUUACAAAUUAUCUUAAUUAUUAUUUUCUUUAUGGCUUGAGUUAGCUGGUCUAAAUCUUGUUAUAGAUAGAGUUCGCCAAAUCUAAUGGCCGCUUGCCUUUGGAGCAUCUCCGCCGCCCGCUGAAGCAGAUAUACGAUAUUCUGAACCGCCAUUAUCCUUGGAACGAACUCUAGCAACUUAAUGUUUGGAAGGAUAAGUUGUAUGAAAGGAGUGUACUGUGUUCAUAGGAAUAACAUUAGUGAUGUAUGUUAGCUUAAGAUAACUCCCGUCAUCUCUUUGGGCUUGACUCUUAUGGAAUUAAGUUAUAAUUAAUAAACAUAAUACAGUAAUGAAGAUUUAGUUAUUUUACCAUUUUCUUAGAAUUCUUUCCAUAUUUUCAGAAAAGCCAUUGUAAAUAUUCAUAUCAUACAUCAUUUUGUUUUAUUUUAUGUGUAAGAAGUACCUACCACUCUCAUAGACGUAAUAAAUUUGAUAGAAUGUUA